UGGGGAAUAUUGCACAAUGGGCGCAAGCCUGAUGCAGCCAUGCCGCGUGUAUGAAGAAGGCCUUCGGGUUGUAAAGUACUUUCAGCGAGGAGGAAGGCGUUGUGGUUAAUAACCGCAACGAUUGACGUUACUCGCAGAAGAAGCACCGGCUAACUCCGUGCCAGCAGCCGCGGUAAUACGGAGGGUGCAAGCGUUAAUCGGAAUUACUGGGCGUAAAGCGCACGCAGGCGGUCUGUCAAGUCGGAUGUGAAAUCCCCGGGCUCAAUCUGGGAACUGCAUCCGAAACUGGCAGGCUAGAGUCUUGUAGAGGGGGGUAGAAUUCCAGGUGUAGCGGUGAAAUGCGUAGAGAUCUGGAGGAAUACCGGUGGCGAAGGCGGCCCCCUGGACAAAGACUGACGCUCAGGUGCGAAAGCGUGGGGAGCAAACA
rnacentral:rRNA from 1 species